UACGGAGGGAGCUAGCGUUGUUCGGAAUCACUGGGCGUAAAGGGUGCGUAGGCGGGUCUUUAAGUCAGAGGUGAAAGCCUGGAGCUCAACUCCAGAACUGCCUUUGAUACUGAGGAUCUCGAGUUCGGGAGAGGUGAGUGGAACUGCGAGUGUAGAGGUGAAAUUCGUAGAUAUUCGCAAGAACACCAGUGGCGAAGGCGGCUCACUGGCCCGAUACUGACGCUGAGGCACGAAAGCGUGGGGAGCAAACAGG
rnacentral:rRNA from 1 species